UACGAAGGGGGGCUAGCGUUGUUCGGAAUCACUGGGCGUAAAGGGCGCGUAGGCGGCCGAUCAAGUCGGGGGGUGAAAGCCUGUGGCUCAACCACAGAAUUGCCUUCGAUACUGUUUGGCUUGAGACCGGAAGAGGUUAGUGGAACUGCGAGUGUAGAGGUGAAAUUCGUAGAUAUUCGCAAGAACACCAGUGGCGAAGGCGGCUGACUGGUCCGGUUCUGACGCUGAGGCGCGAAAGCGUGGGGAGCAAACAGG
rnacentral:rRNA from 1 species